AAAGUCGUAACAAGGUCUCCGUAGGUGAACCUGCGGAGGGAUCAUUACUGAAUGACCGCAAGGUCUUCAAACCUUCAAACCUGUGGAAGCGAAAUGUGCUUCGGCGCCCAAAAAGGCGCCGCUUUUAUGCAUCAAUGGUUGGCUUUGUCUGAACAUAAACAAAAAGAAUCAAAACUUUCAACAAAGGAUCUCUUGGCUCUC
rnacentral:misc_RNA from 1 species